AAUAUAAGCAUUUAUUGACUUUCAGACGUCACGUUUGACCAUUCGUCUUAUUCAAAAAUUUUGUAAAUAUGUUAUUUAUUUCAUUAUGAUUUGUUUUAUCAUUAGGUAUACUUCAGGUACGACUUAUUUGUUUUUAUAUUUUUAUAAAUUUUUUGAAUAAGACGGGUAGUUAAACGUGAUGUGCGGAAACCGAUAAAUGAUUAUAUU
rnacentral:pre_miRNA from 1 species